AAGCUCGUAGUUGAAUUUCGGGGUUCUACCGUUGGUCGGGCUAACCAGUCUGUACUAGCGUGUAGAAUUCCUACCUUCUGGGGAACCAUCAUGUUAUUAAUUUAGCGUGGUGGGAAACCAGGACCCUUUACCUUGAAAAAAAUUAGAGUGUUCAAAGCAGGCUUACGUCUGAAUACAUUAGCAUGGAAUAAUAAAAUAGGACGGUGGUCCUGUUUUGUUGGUUUCUGAAUCACCGUAAUGAUUAAUAGGGAUAGUUGGG
rnacentral:rRNA from 1 species